AGUCGCGUUAUUAAUCGUUUAUCUGAGCGUUUCUGAGAUUUCCUUUGCGGAAUAUUAUGUUUUAUUACCCAGUUUAAAAGUGACAAUAACACCAUUGUAUGGAGUCCAUAACACGAAUUCGUUUAGAAAUGUUUACUUGGUUGUUGUUUAAGUAGAUCUAAAGUGUAAUAGGUAUUUUAGCUCUUUAAAAUAUCGGCUAUUGAAAAUCGUCGCGUUUUGAUGGGUCUGAGGUUAUGAUAAGACCAAAACAUUAAAUAUCGUCGGUGAUUUCAGGGAGGUGCCUUACCAUAGAACACAUAUGCGAAAAAGGCAUCAUUUAGACGAUAUCUACUAUCCAAAUUAUGAGGAUAUCAAUGAAUAUAAUGCGAGAAGACGAGAACCGUGGGAACACCCUUACUGUGAUAGAUAUCCCGUACACACCAGAAUACACGUUCGUGAAGAUCUUUGGAACAAUCCACAACAGGCGAGUGAGAAAUGUAAUUCGACAAGGAAGGAAACGUUACCUAAAGGGAAAACCUUCGAUACUGUCGUGGUAGAACAAUUCUCAAACAGUGACGUGCCUAUUAAACAGGAAGAGGAAGUAGAGGAACGGUUUAGUCCUAUGGUUGAGGAUAACUUAAAAAGUGACGAGCCAAAGCAGGAAAAUACCGGAGAGAGUUCUCGAGACUGCCUUAAAUCUCAAACAGGAAGUGGUUUUAGUGAUAUUAAAAAAACUGUGCCAGAAAGAAGUUGUGAACAGUUGUUUGAACAAACGGGUUCUACCUAUAAUUCAGGAUCUGAAUUUGUAAACGCUAAAAUGCAAUAUAAUAAAGAUUUAAACUCAAAAAAAUUACAAAGUAGCUCUUGUGCCAACAUAGAAUCAAAUAAACCUAAUUUUGUAGAAAGUCUUAAUGACAGUGAUAUGGAGUCGUUUAAAUUAAUUCAAGAAAUGGAACCUGACGGUUCAUCAGAAAAGCCCAAUCGUAAGAUAAAAAUUAAUUUACCUUUCCCAGUGGCUAAAGGUAAAACAAUUGAUUUAUCUGCCGACAAUUCCGAUACCCCUCUAGAAGACAUACAUACUAUUGAAAAUGAGUUAAAGGAUUUACUUGCAAAGAACAAUAAUGACUACACUAGCCAUUUAAACGAUAGGAAAACUAUUAUAACUACAAUUGAUAUUACGGCGGAUAGUGACGAAAUUAGUGACAAACUUAAUAAUAAAAUAGAAACUAUUGAUCUGGUUAAAGAUGAUGUAGAAUUAAUCGAAGAAAAGUGUGUGCAAAAGAAAUGCGUAUAUCCUGUACAAGUUACAAACAUUGAUAAAGACAGUAAAGCCAAUUUAUUAACAGAACAAAUGGAAAAGUUUAAAAAGGAAGACACUAAAGAUUUUGUGAUAAAUAGUGAUUAUCAGCGCACAGUUGGCGGAGAAACACGUAUUUCCAAGCACUACGACCAACCACCAAAGUUAGAAAAAAUGGUCGACGACUUAGAUCCGAUUCAUGUAAAUGUAACGAAUUCCGAUACAACUCCAAAAGAGAUAUCGGAUGAUGAAAGGUUUCUGAGCAAUGAUUCUUUUAAAUUGACGCAAGUAUAUCAACAGACCAUAGGUAUAUAUACCCAAAAUUCAUCAGGCUUACCAAAGCUUGAACUUAGGACAGAAAAGACUUCCUUAGCAGAAACUGAUUCGAUAUAUCUACCAACAUGCAGCAGAAAAAGAAUUACAAGCCUUACCGAUUCACCGAGCAAAAAAGCUACUUUACGCAAAACUAAAUCCAUUGGUGACUUGCGUUCUAAUAUUAAUGAUGAAUCAAUUACAAAAAACAAUAUAAUUCCUCAAGUUAACUGGUACUCUGAUAUAUCUGAGGAUGAAUCUGCUCUGCACCCUUAUUCAGAUGUCUCCGGCAUUACUCAAAACGACGGAUAUGCAAGUGACUCUGACGCUACUGUUGAUUUGAGAUGUCUCAAUAGAAAGAGCACUAGUAAAAGGAAACGUUGUAGGGUGCUAACGACAUCAUCAGACGAAGAGGACCGUUUAAAAAAUGCGAAAGCUGUAAAAAGGGAGUGCAAAAAAAAGGAAAAACAGAAACCAGAUAAUAAAAAUACCAAAGAUGAUUCAUCAAAAGCCAAGUUCAAUGAUAGGUUAGAUCAGCAGCCAAGUUCUAUAAACUCAAAAAGUGAGAUCAGUCCAGCGAAAGUUAAGCGACGAAGAUCCACUUUCACUUGUGAUCCUGAAAAUGAAGGUGUUUUAAAGCGGGCCGACGACGAAAGAUUCCGGGAUAGAUUUGUGCAUCUAUUUGGAAGUUUAUCGGAGGAUGAUGAUGAUGAUUCGAGGCCCGAUGAAAUAAGAAUUGUGACAAAAAAGGAAUAUCAGAAUAACAAAAUAGUCAAGGGUCCCGUUGAAAGUGAGGCCAGUACUAGUAACAAUAGCAACUUAUCCAACCAUAGUGAACUUGGAGAAGGUGGGCCAAAUAAACGAAAACGUAAAUAUACAAAAGGUUCAUCAGUGAUUACGAGGCAGAAAAGGCGAAAGGUGCCAAAAUCGAAAAAAUUCAUUGAUAAAAGUGAUUCCGAUUCUGAUGAAUUACUCAAACCCCAGUCGUCUGAAGUUUCACAAAAAACAUUAGCUACCGACUCUAGGGCUAGUAAAGUUACUAUAAAGAAACCAAAUCAAAGAGAUAAACCAAUUACGGAGAACAAGAUAAAAGGCAAAAUUAGUCGACCGCAAAAAAAUAUUGCAAAGACCGAUAUGAACUGUCAGGGUAAGAAAACUGACAAACUUGUCAUUGACAAAAAAAGUCAAGAUAAUAAGAAAGUAAAAAAUAAACUAAAUGAAAAAAAGAAAGAUCAGAAUAAAUCAGAUGAAAAAGGAGACACAAAAGGCAAGGUCUUAGAAAAACCCAAAAACCAUGAAGCUUUAGGCACUGAAGUGACUGCAGACAAACAAACAAAAGCAGAAAAAAGCAAAUCGGCUGCUGCUAGUGAUUGCGUCAAACUACCAAUCCGUUAUUCAUCGCAAGUUACAACAGAGUUUCCUCAAGAGUCCUGUUGCACACUGGUUCUAUUAAAAUCGAUUUAUAAACCGCGGCAACUAAUAACACAAAGUGUCGCAGAUAAGUGUGUGGAUAGAUGUCACAUAAAUGAAUCUCCAGAUGUCCGCAAUGACUCGAUAACAGCUUACAUUGAAAAUGACAUUAUCGAGAUUCAAGAGCCCACACCUCUAGUCGAUCUUACACAAAAUGAAGAAGAUCUUGAUUUAACACCCGAAAAAAGCUUGCCUGAUGAUUUAUAUAACUUGAAACGUGAAAUUUUGGAUCUGGAGCGAAACACACAAGAAGGAUGUUUAGUGACUUUGUAUCCUUCCGAAGAGUCUUCAGCUGAUCAAGAGGUUCAAGCUGUGUCGGCCACGGUGCCUCUUACAAAUAAUCGUAGUAGGAGUGAAGAACUCUCUGAUGAGAACAAAGUUUUGGAUAGCUGUAAGGAAAGUAUAAUGAGUCAAAAUGUUUCGAAAAAGGAAGAAGAGAAUGAAACUGAUAUGUCAACAAAUGUUAAGAGUCCUGAUAGAGAUUCGUCUUUACCUGUAAAAGAAAAUGAAAACUUCACGCCCGCUGUAAGUACAGCUUCGCUAUCAGAUAAUCCAGGUGAUAUGUGUCACUCCAGUACUAUUAUAAUUGAUGGAGAUAGAAGUCGUAAUUCUCUAGAUAUAGACUUGCAAAGUAAUGCAAUUUCUUCUACUUCAAUAAUUCAAAACUCUCGACUAUUGGAAUAUUCUAGCAGUUCAAAGAAGAGUGCUAAUUUGGAGGAUUACUCAGUAAAUUCUUCACUUGCAAAUCCAUCGACGUUGCCGACAAAUCGAUUGCCUAUGGCUCAAGUUGCCAGUUGUCCUCCUCCAUCAAAUUCUUGUAGAAAACCAACUGUAAUAGAGUCUGCUUUGCCCGAAUGUAAUAUUAGAGCUGUUAAUUUGCAGCCGGAUAAUUAUAAGACUAAUGAUUCCGCUACUAAGCAAACAUUGAAACAUAACGAGUUGAUUACAUCCGAAGCCCGUAAUUAUUGUCCCGCCCCAAUAAAUUAUGUUAAAGAGCAAGACAGAAACGUUGCAACAGAGCCGGUUUUACGGCAAUGUACAAUUAGAGCUCCUAACUUGCACGAUACCACUCUAAAUAAUUGCGCUACUGAUAAGCAAACGUUAUUGCAACAAUAUCGAUUAUUUAUUGGUCAAGUGGCUGCAAUAAGUUCCUGUAGAGAAAAAAAAUCUGAUUUUGCAAUAGAAUCGAUUUUGCCUAAAUGUACAACGAAUUCGGAUAUGGAUAAUAAUUCGACCUAUAUUCAUCCUAUCAGUAGUCAAUCGAUUUCGCAACAUCAGUUACCUAUAACUCAAGUUGCAAAUGAUCCUACUCCAACUAAUCUCAAUGAGAAAGAAGGAAAUAAUAUUACAGAGUUUAAACAGCCACCCUCAAUUACUCCCCAAAAUAAUAGUUUUUUGGGAACUUCAAAUUGGUUCCGUAAACCACCACCUAAUAUACCGCAAAGGAAAACCUUGGUUGCCGCUUCCAAUCAAGAAAUGUAUAAUAAUACAGCUUCUACAAUUACUCAGAAUUCUACUACAUUUACAGUAACCACUGAACCGAGUCAGAAACCUUUGCAGUACAUUUUUAAUGGAACAUCUUUAUUACCUCUUGAUGAGCUUCAACUAUCUGCAGAUGAAUUUGUUAAAAUCAUACAAAUUUUUAUGAAACACCUUUAUUUUCUUAUGCAUUUACUAAAUGCCCAGAAUCUGUAUAAAGAUGCGUUAAGAAGCAAUUUGUAUUGCCAGGACUUUUUUAGAGUGGAAUUAAAUCGCUUUCAACAUGAGAUAAAUACACGGAUUUUGCUACAAGCGACCAGCUUUUUUAAUGAUUUAUCUUUUUUCUUUGAGAUUAAGGCUACACAAAAUCUAUACAGUACAAUAGAAGAUUUAAUAGGAGCAAUAGUGCUUAGAUUAAACUCGAUCCGAGAUAUACCAAAAAAAGUGUCUAAAGUGACGAUAUAUUUGUUACUUAAAAGACUGAUGGAUCCUUAUGCAGAGAAAUAUGCAAGAAAUCCUAUGUUUAAAGCCCUUAUUAACGUCAUAACACACGUAACUCAAAAGGCAGGUAAAAAAUCAAACGAUCAGUCGUUGAAACGACCUGAAAUAUUUUCGGAAGAUAUGCGAAAUACUUUAAUAAAGCAAAUCGGACAAUAUAGAAGCAUGCUAAAAAACACUUCAUCUUCUGCCGAGAAUAACAACUUCGGAAAAUCUUUAGAUGCUCUUUCACCGCCAAAUGUAUCCCUUAUACCUGUAAACAAUAAAUGUUUUGGUGAUAAUCUCCAAUCUUCAUCUGCUGGUAACAAUAAAAGUUUUCUAGCAACAAAUAUACCUUCUGUUCGACAUCAAUUUAAUCGCAAUACGGCGCAUACAUUUGUAACUCAGACGUGUGUAACUCCACUUGAUCAAUUAUCACGUAUGGGGAAUAUGCCUAGAUAUUUACCAAAUCAUAGCGUUACAACUCGAGCCACCAAUAUGAAUAAAUUAGCACCACAACACUUUUAUGGAAGCAAUCCACAAAUUGUUUUGAACAGAGCUCAAGGUGUUUCAAACUAUCAUUCACAACCAACAAUAAGUCAUUCGAGCAAUGUUUCGGUAUCGGAUAUACAGCAACGAAAUCAAAAUUCGGUUCAUGAAUCAUUACCAUCUCAAUCCUUAUUCGGAGCAAAUAGUUCUAGUGCAGUGAAUGGAAAUGUUGCCAUUAGAUCUUUAUUUCCUAUUAGUACAACAUCAGCCAUCAUGGUGCCUACAUCACGAGUAAUUACAAAUGUUUGUAAUACGGUACACAGUACUCACUCCUCCUUUUUUUACGCACCAGCUGCAGUCUCAAAUUCCAAUGCUAUUGCACACAACUUUACUACUAGACCAUCCACCUUUCUUUCUUCUGCAAAACCAUUAUCCAAUGCUGGUAACAAAGCAGUUUACACUGCUUUUGAGGAUGCUACUGAUGCUAUGUCUCUUAAACCACAGACAUUACCAAUCAGUGAUUCUUAUGCAGGCCAAGGCGCACCGGGAUUAGCCUUAAGGGCACAGAACUUUACUGGACCUUCCACACUGCACUCUUCUACAGAAAUUCCAAUGUUUCAGCCAAUAUCCGGUAUAUACCAAAAAGAAGAGACACAAUACAUUACUUCAACAGUUGACAAGCCGCUUCAGGCGGUUUAUACAAAUACUACUCAGGAUACAAUGAAUGUCAAGUCUGUUAUACCACAAAUAAGUCAUUCAUAUGAAGGCCAAGAGUCAUGUGAGUCAGUCUUAAACCCAAAUGCCAAAAAUUCACAUAGAUCGUCAACAUUGCAUCCUUCUGCAGAAAUUCCAGUAUUCCAACCAGUAUCCAAUAUUGCUACAUACCAAACGGAAGGCGGAAAAUACACUGCUUCAACAACUGACAAGUCAGUUCAAGAAUUUUAUUCUAAAACUUCUCUGGACGAAAUUAAUGCCAAGUCUGUUAAAUCGCAAAUAUUUGCAAUAAAUAACUCUAAACUAGGCCAAGAACCAUCAGUUCCUGUGCCGACUUCAAAUGCUAUUGUACACAACUUUACUCAACCGUCAACUUUGCAGCCUUCUGCACAAGUUGAAAUGAUCCAAUCAAUUUCCAAUAUUACUACAAACCAACCUAAAUGUGUAGAAUAUACUGAACAGUCAGGUCUUCCUAAAACGUCUUAUGACGUAUAUGAACGGCAAACAUUUCCAAUAAGCGAUCAAAAUAUUAGCCAAAUUCCGGAUUCAGCACAGCCUGAGAUGAUUGACUCAAGCAAGUCACAUAAUUUAUCCAAGAGAAACGGAUCUAAGAAAAAUCGACGAGCGACCAAAACAGGUUCUGAUGCCCUGGAGACUAUAGAAGUUUUGGAUAGUAGUGAUGAAGAAAUAGAAGAUGAACUGAACAUUCCUCAAAACACGACUAAUACUGAGUCAAGAGGUCUACAGGAAGAUUAUGCUGAAAGUUUCAAACCUGAUGGACAAAAUACCGCUGCAUCUGUGACGGACGACGUUGCAGCUUCCGGAAUCUCUGAAGAUGCCAUUACCACUAUCGAUUUGACAUUCAUCGAUGAUAUGGACGAAAGCGAAUGGAAAAAUGAAGUCGAUUUCGUGUUUGUAAAGCAGGAGCAAGCAAAUAAUGGAGGGGACCAAAGUGCAAACGAGGUGAGAGUGGCUUCUACUGACAGCGGUUUUUCCAGCCCUAUUCAGACUCAGAAUGAGGAAGUUACGACAUAUGUCGCCCGUAGGCUGUGCAAUUGUGGAAAACCUGGAAAAUAUAUCUGCAUCUGCGAGGUCAUGGACACCUCCUACUGCGGUCCGAAAUGUCAGCUUAAUCACUGGGAUACACAUAAACUUGUUUGUCGUGCUGUUAUAGAUAAUACAACUUAGGGCAAUUAUUUAAAAUAUUGAAAAAAAUUAGGCAAUUUUCUAUAGCUUAAAAAAGGCCAGUUAGUUACCAAAUUAUCACGCCGAUGAAUUAUUUAUCAACGAAGAGUAGUUUUGUUCGAAAAAUUACUUGGAUAUUAAAAAUGUAAUAUGCGUAUUACGGUACUAAUUUUAACGAUACAUUUUUCUGUGAUAAUAAUAAGUUAAUAUGUUUGGCCUUAAGCUAAUUUUGAAUGUUACUAAACAGCUAUGUUAAGUUAAAAUUACUUUAUUUUUAUGCUAAUAAUAUUAGCUUAGAACGUAUUUGUUGUUAAAAGGUCUCUAUUUUAAGCUACCUAACUUGUCAAUAAAUCUCAUGGUUUGAUACCGAUAUACUAAAUCAAAUACAAACUCACUUAUCUGAGUUACGUAAAACUUCCAUAUGGUGCCAAAAAAGCCUUUGCAAUCGUCAAGUCUGCUGUAUUAGUAUAAAUUUUAGCUUCCUAGAUAUAAAUUAUUUAAUUUAGUUAAAUGUUAGUUAAAUAUAGAAGUUUUGUUAUUUAACUUGAAAAUGCCAUUAAUUUAUAUUUUGUUGAAAUCAUUUUUUAAGUUCAGUUAAUUAGUUGAGUUUACCUUGUUAACGAUUUGUUCAGAGGGGCCUUAAAAAGACCCUCUUUUAACUUUAGAGUAACUUUGUCAGAUAAACUAAUAUAUUCAAAAGACUAUAAUUUUGCUAUAACGGGUUUUCCGGUAACGGCUACGGUACCAUCAAGCUUUUUCCAAAUAGUAUUUUUAGUAGUAUCUAGUAAAUAUAAUUAGAUUUUAUCUGACUAAAGUAGUUAUAUUUUAAUGUUAUAAUUUAAAAAAUAUUUUUUUUGUUAACAAAAUAUAUAUUUUUUAUUUUUUCAAAAAAAAAAAUUACCAAAACUAGUAUAUGGCUGACCCCUUACUUAAAUAUUCAUGUAGUAUCACGGGUAAAAUUGGGUAGAAUUUUUAAUGUGGUCGUAAUUUUUUUUCUAAAGCAUUAAGUUAAAAUUUAAGUACAAUGGUAGCUCUAUAGUAUUUAUUAGCUUCAAGAAAGCUUUUUUACAGUUAUUCGAUUUCUAAGAUAAAAUUAGUAAGAUACCCAUUUUUACCGUACCUCUGUAAGAUAUUCUGUGAUAAUUUACGGCUACUUAAGCGAUGGCGGUUUUAGUUUGUUAAGCAUACAGCUACCAAAGAUAUUUUCCAUUUUUCUACUUUUGGUAAUAAAGAUAUUUUUCAUA